CGAGGUGUCAGGUUUAGGAGCCUGGGCGCUGCUGAGGGCAUAGCUGCCAGCACCGUGCUACACCGAGGCUGGCUCCGUUCACCUCACAUGUCACCUCCUGCUGAGCCCCCAGGCGUCAGUCAAGUACGUUUUGGUUACUGAGUCCCUCGAAUUCCCAUAUGAAUAGUAGCAGCAGCUAGUCAGUUACUGCAGAGGAGCCCGCUGGGAUUGUGAUCGAGACCACGUUGAGUAUACAGAUCGCUCUGGGGAGCACUGCCAUCCCAAGAGCGCUGUCAUCUGAUCCAGGAAUGUGCGUGGUGUGUCUGUCCAGGUGCCCUCACCUCCAGUGGCAUCCAUCCAGACACCAGCACUGACACUGGCCGUGCUCACAACUGCCUUAGCCCUGAAGACACAACUGACAAAUAGAAGGGGGCUACGCCCUAAGACAGCAGGUGCUCUUACUUUGUGGGUCCUUAUGUAACUGCGCGGUGUUAUUCAGGAUCGCCCGUUCUACACUUUGUGACGCUGCUGCCGUGUCUCCUAGUUAUUUCUGAUCUGAGAAGCAGGAGCAAGGAACUCAGGGAGAGAUCCAGGAAGACAUCUGACUCUGUUAAGAGACGACAGUCACAGCGACACGGGGAGCGAGGACACUUGCAGCAAAGUAAAAUGACUUCACAACUAUUGCAUCAGAGCUGCAGGUGUGAGAGAGCCUAAGCCUGUCUCAGAGUGCAGGGGACAAGAGGAAAGGAAUGGUAAAAUUAACACUGACAAUUGAAAUUUUGUUAAAUAGCCUGCUAAUAUUAAUUGUAUCAAAUGAAUGUAUGCAGGUGUAUUUCUAUGAUCAUUUAUAGGUACACACAACCCCACCAGCCCCUCUUUCUCCCAUCGGGGAUGGGCUUUCUCAAGCACAGUGCCCCUCCUGGUUGAGUGGGCCACGCUGCGGGUCCUCGUCUGGGGCCAGGCUGCUGCAGGACACUGAGUCCCCGAGGCACGGCCUGGGAGACAUGACAGGAACAUCUCUGCUCAUAACUGAGAGCCUCCGUUUCCCCCUGCAGUGUAAGAAUGCCGGUGACUCAGUUAGAAGCAUGCAUCCAACCCGUCCUUCCGUGUCAUCACCAUCUAGAAUCGGUGCCUGAAUCUUCUGAAUUUCUCCAGAAUGUGGUUUAAAAUCACCUUCGACAAUUGAGUGUGUGUCCUCUUACAAGUGGAGGAAUUGCUGCCGUUUCCCUGGAACUUACUCACCACUAGUCCAUCUGAUUUUUCUGUGCUAGGAUUCAGUAUGGCAUGCUAAAAAUUCUGCAGUCAGAUCUUGAAACACUGAUGAAGAGGAUUAUUUAUUUUAUUUCUUUAUAUGAUAGUGUUUUACUUUCAAAAUUCAGAGUUUUCGGUUCUUUCAAAAAAUUUUUUGGGGGUUGGAGAAACAACUUUGCUCUUACCAUCUCUGUGAC